AGACAUUAUCCUGGUGAAUAAGUUGGACACAGCUGAUUCCCUGCCUCUCUCACCCAUGUUUGGUGAUACCUGAUCUGCCCUUCCCUAUUCACCUCCACUUACUUCCGCUUCAAAGGUACGGGACCAUACACAAAAUACAAUACUGGGCAUUAUAAACCAAUUGUCUGAUCUGGUGCAGCUCCAAGAAGGAAUCCAGUUUCUUUUGGACCAGAAGAAUUUCUUACGAGUUUUUGAAAGAAAAAGGAAAAUCCAGUAUGGGAAACUAUUUGACUUCACACCACCAGAUGGCCCUAUCUCAUCUACUUUACAAAGUCUGCAGGAAGGAGCCUCAGGAGCUGCAAACUUUAGAAGCUGAACAGCCUGUACCUUUCAAGAUGCAUCGCAAAUGUGGUAAGGUCUCUGCAGCAGGAUAG